UACGGAGGGUGCGAGCGUUGUCCGGAAUCACUGGGCGUAAAGGGCGCGUAGGUGGCGACCCAAGUCGAUGGUGAAAGCUCGCCGCUCAACGGCGAGUCGGCCACCGAUACUGGGUUGCUGGAGCACUGUAGAGGCUCAUGGAAUUCCGGGUGUAGCGGUGGAAUGCGUAGAGAUCCGGAAGAACACCGGUGGCGAAGGCGGUGAGCUGGGCAGUUGCUGACACUGAGGCGCGACAGCGUGGGGAGCAAACAGGG
rnacentral:rRNA from 1 species